AAAGCAGAACCUUAAAAUGUUAGAUCCUGAUCUGACUAUGCCAAAUGGCUGUGUGCUACACUAGUUAAUUUAGCAGUCAAGAUUUUCUUAGAAUUCCUUGGCAUUAUUUUAUAGUAUGAAGAAUACAAUUGAACAAAGCUGAAUAAAAUAGAAAGGAUAUUUUCUCCAAACAAUUUGAGGGAGUGCGCACAUGCGGCUCUUCUGUGUUGAGCGGUUAACAAAGAAACAGAUGUGGGUGAUUUGCCUGAUCCCUCAGUCCCAGGCCUACCAGAAGGGUAUCCUUUUUGUGGAGCAAUUCAGCUGUGCCACAUGUUUUGACUGACGCAGUCCUGAAACAAGAGAUCAACGCAUCAAUUCUUGGACUCAAACAGCAGCUGGAGGAUGUAUGCAACGGCCUGAGAGAGAUUAAUCAAUCAUUGAAAGAACUUGUUGAUUGUGUCAAACAUGUGAGACAAUAAAUUCUGGUGCAAUGUAAAUGUGUUUUCCUUGUCAAUUUGAUUACAAUAUUUGGAAGAACAGAUAUCUAAAACUGUUGUAUGAUAUUGACUCUUGUCCUCAGUGCCAGAGCUAUGGGUGGUGGAAAAAACUCCCUGUCAGGCAUGGGCUCAUCGGGUCUGGGUGGAUGAUUCAGUGGAAUGCCAUUUUUGAUUGCAAUGUUGUGGAAUACACUCCAAGCCUUGACAAUGUAGCAAGCCUAAAAAGGAAUUUGCACAUUGUAUUACAUUCACGUAAUGGCAUUUGAAGGAAUGUCAUUUCAGAGGCAAACCUUGCUAGGCUAGUAUUGCAGUGUGCCUCCUGUCCCAGACAAGCACAACGCCCUUUCAGCAGGCCUAUGGUGCGCUGCACUGUUGUUCUUGUGCUUGCGUGGGCUUCGUUGUACCUUGACUCUUGUUGGUUUGAGGAGUUUGUGAGGGGAGUCAUCAGCCAUGUUUUUAACGGGUAACUCCGGUCUCCUGCAGUUAUGAAACACACCAUUCAGAUAUUGUUU
rnacentral:lncRNA from 1 species